GUUUACCCAGUUAUUCGCCGCGGGAUGUUUUGUUAGCGGGGGUUUGUCUGGGUUUUAAGACCGGGAGUCGUGCAUUCAAUUACCACACGCUAACAACAGCCGACGACAGUGCCUUUACGUGGGAAAAAAAAGUUUCAGCAUCAUGGGUUGCAAAGGGUCAAAGUCCACAGCUGCUGCCGGUGCCGCCAAGGAAGGGGGAGAGCCUCAGACCACCCAGGAGCAGACGACAGAGGGAGGUGAGAGUGCACAGCGUGACGUCACAUUUGAACUGUUCAUGGAGAUGUGUGACGGGGGCAGAGUCAGAGAUUCUCCUAUAUGAGAUGGAUUGCUGCAAAUGUUAUUAUUUAAUUAUCAUCAACUUUCCGUCCAUUGUUAUGUCAUCCAUUAAACCUUUUGGAAAUUCCUUCAUUUUACAACAUAUGAACAGCUGUGAUAACUAAUUUGUUCCAGUACAAAACAUGAGUUUAUAUUUUUACUUUUACACAAGUUUUUUAACGUAUGAAAAUAAUAAUCGAGAGAUUAUAAUAUACUUUAUUUUUUUUACAACUUGAAAUGUGUACAUACCAUUUUUAAAAAAAAACAACAACAUUCCUACAUUUUUUCAGUAUUAUAAAAAUUAAUAAUUGAGAUUAAACAUGAAACAAAACAAAUGGUUGUUGGCUGUUAUUUUAAUGUUUGAAGACCUUCAACCCAACGUUUGUGAUGAGAGAACAGAACAAAACAAACAAAAGUUA